UACCCAGUUCGGAUCGCAGGCUGCAACCCGCCUGCGUGAAGUUGAAAUUGCUAGUAAUCGCGCAUCAGCCAUGGCGCGGUGAAUACGUUCCCGGGCCUUGUACACACCGCCCGUCAAGCCAUGGGAGCCGGGGGUGCUUGAAGUGCGUCGCCGCAAGGCGCGCCCUAGAGCAAAACCGGUGACUGGGGCUAAGUCGUAACAAGGUACC
rnacentral:rRNA from 1 species